rnacentral:tRNA from 1 species
GCGGGAAUAGCUCAGUUGGUAGAGCGCAACCUUGCCAAGGUUGAGGUCGUCGGUUCGAGCCCGAUUUCCCGCUCCA